rfam:Triticum aestivum genome assembly, contig: Triticum_aestivum_CS42_TGACv1_scaffold_501972_6BL
CAUGUACUUCCUCCGUCUCAAAAUUCUUGUCUUAGAUUUGUCUAGAUACGAAUGUACCUAAUACUAAAACGUGACUUGAUACAUCCGUAUUUAGACAAAUUUAAGACAAGAAUUUUGGGACGAAGGGAGUAUUUG